CUUUUUAAAAAUGUUAUUUUCUGGACAGAGCAAAUGAGCUGAGCAUUCUUCAACAGGUUCAGUUCAGGAGCUCAUCAUCAUCCUAUUCUGUCCCCAGUCAAACAACCUCCCACACUCUUCCGCCAUGUAAAUU